AGUCGACCGAUGAGGCUACUUCGGGGAGUACAUCAGCGGCAGACGGGUGAGUAACACGUAGAUAACCUGCCCUCAAGACGGGGACAACCGGUGGGGACAGCGGCUAAUACCCGAUAUGCUCACAGGAUCGGGAGGUCGAGUGAGGAAAGGCUUCGGUGCUUGAGGAGGGAUCUGCGGCCCAUCAGCUAGUUGGUGAGGUAACGGCUCACCAAGGCGAAGACGGGUAGGGGGUGUGAGAGCAUGGCCCCCCACAAUGGGACUGAGACACGGCCCAUACUCCGAGGGGAGGCAGCAGCGGGGAAUAUUGCGCAAUGGACGGAAGUCAGACGCAGCGACGCCGCGUGGGUGAGGAAGGCCUUCGGGUUGUAAAGCCCUUUUCAGGGGAGCGAGAAAGGACGGUACCCUUGGAAUAAGCGUCGGCUAACUACGUGCCAGCAGCCGCGGUAAGACGUAGGACGCACGCGUUAUCCGGAUUUACUGGGCGUAAGGCGCCUGUAGGCGGUCAAGUAAGUCGGAUGUGAAAGCCCCGUGCUCAACGCGGGGAAGCCAUUCGAUACUGCGUGACUAAGAGAACGGCAGAGGGAAACGGCAAUUUCUGGUGUAGCGGUACAAUGCGCACAGAUCAGAAAGAACACCGAUGGCGAAGGCAGUUUCCUAGGCCGCAUCUGACGCUGA
rnacentral:rRNA from 1 species